GAUGAACGCUGGCGGCGUGCCUAACACAUGCAAGUCGAGCGAGAUUUAUGUGAGUGGAGACUUCGGUUGAAGCGAACAUAAUGAAAGCGGCGGACGGGUGAGUAACGCGUGAGCAAUCUGCCCCAUACAAAGGGAUACCCACCGGAAACGGUGAUUAAUACCUUAUAAGACCACAGAGCCGCAUGGUUCGGGGGUCAAAGAUUUAUCGGUAUGGGAUGAGCUCGCGUCUGAUUAGCUAGUUGGCGAGGUAAUGGCUCACCAAGGCGACGAUCAGUAGCCGACCUGAGAGGGUGAACGGCCACACUGGAACUGAGACACGGUCCAGACUCCUACGGGAGGCAGCAGUGGGGAAUAUUGCACAAUGGGCGCAAGCCUGAUGCAGCAACGCCGCGUGAAUGAUGAAGGCCUUCGGGUCGUAAAGUUCUGUCCUAAGGGAAGAAUACAGUGACGGUACCUUAGGAGGAAGCCCCGGCUAACUACGUGCCAGCCGCCGCUGUAAUAC
rnacentral:rRNA from 1 species